CCAUCCACACCACACUACCGUUGCAGCAUAUUUCUUCUCCGCAGCAGAUUUCUUCUCCGCUUCUUUAAUAUUAUUGCAGCUUAAUUUUGACUUAUUACGGUGCCGUAUCACUUGCAUCCACUACGUUCUGAAUCUUCGGGCCAGCUUUUCUUUUCCCUUUUUCUUUUUCUGUUGCUUUUCAGUUAUCAAACGUUGUUAUGUUAUCACCAUGUGUCGGUUCCCAACGAAGAUAUCGUUGUCUAUGGUGAAACUUGAAGUUGUAUAUAAGACGACGUAUGGCCGUAGGUUACUCAAAGAACGAGACGAAUGAGUUAGCCAACCAACAUAACAAUGAUUUCUCUUAGGUUACUGGUGAUUUUUGCUCUGUGCAGUGUCGGCUGCCAGGCUUACCGUCGAGUUUGCUACCAUACCAACUGGUCGCAGUACAGACCAGCUGGCGGCAAAUAUUUCCCUGAGAGUAUCGACCCAACACUGUGUACGCACAUCUGUUAUGCUUUUGCCAAACUGAACGGAAACCACCUCCACGCUUUCGAAUGGAACGAUGAAUCUGAGCCAUGGAUGAAGGGAAUGUAUGUCUAUAUAUGUGUAUAU
rnacentral:lncRNA from 1 species